AUGUCGAUCCGCAUGCUGAACCAGAACGCGGAGGUGAUGAACAAGUCGGCGGCCCUGGCCAUGAACAUCGGCGCCGCCAAGGGCCUCCAGGACGUCCUCAAGACCAACCUCGGCCCCAAGGGCACCAUCAAGAUGCUCGUGGGUGGAGCUGGCGACAUCAAGCUGACCAAGGACGGGAACACCCUCUUGAAAGAAAUGCAAAUCCAGAACCCGACAGCAAUCAUGAUUGCGAGAACGGCGGUGGCGCAGGACGACACGAGCGGCGAUGGCACCACGUCCACGGUGCUUUUCAUCGGGGAGCUUAUGAAGAUGUCUGAGCGAUGCAUCGAAGAAGGUACUCAUCCACGGUUUUUGGUUGAUGGCUUUGAGGUUGCCAAGAAAGCAACUCUUGAAUUUCUCGAGACAUUCAAGACACCAGUUGUUAUCGGUGAUCAACCCGACAGGGAGAUCUUGAAAAUGGUAGCAAGAACAACUCUUAGGACAAAGCUGUAUGAAGGAUUGGCUGAUCAGUUGACCAAUAUUGUUGUGAAUGCGGUCCUAUGCAUCCGCCAAAGUGAUCAACCAAUUGAUCUUUUUAUGGUGGAAAUAAUGCAUAUGCGCCACAAAUUCGAUGUCGACACACGUCUGAUUGAGGGUCUGGUCCUUGACCAUGGUUCUCGGCACCCUGACAUGAAGCGCAGAGCAGAGAAUUGUUACAUCCUGACAGCUAAUGUAUCACUGGAAUACGAGAAAAGUGAAAUCAAUGCAGGAUUCUUCUACUCAAACGCAGAACAAAGAGAAAAGAUGGUUACUGCAGAGAGGCGUCAAGUUGAUGAACGUGUCCAGAAGAUCAUUGAAUUGAAAAAUAAGGUUUGCGCAGGAACUGACAAGAAUUUUGUGGUGAUCAACCAAAAGGGCAUCGAUCCUCCGUCCCUUGAUCUCCUAGCUAGAGCUGGGAUUAUUGCUCUCCGAAGAGCAAAGCGGAGGAACAUGGAGAGACUUGUGCUAGCAUGUGGCGGCGAAGCCAUCAAUUCAGUUGAAGGCAUGACUGAAGACUGUCUUGGCUGGGCUGGGCUUGUCUAUGAGCAUGUUCUUGGAGAAGAAAAAUACACGUUCGUGGAGAAUGUUAAGAACCCUCACUCCUGUACUAUUUUGAUCAAAGGACCUAAUGAUCACACCAUUGCACAAAUUAAGGAUGCCGUACGAGAUGGUCUAAGAUCUGUGAAGAACACAGUUGAGGAUGAAGCUGUUGUGCUGGGCGCUGGAGCGUUCGAGAUGGCUGCAAGGAAGCAUCUCAUUGACAAUGUGAAGAAAACCGUUAAAGGACGAGCCCAACUUGGGGUGGGGGCAUUUGCUGAUGCUCUGCUCGUUAUCCCCAAGACGCUAGCGGAGAAUUCGGGCUUAGAUACCCAAGACGUUAUUGUCUCUCUUGAGAAUGAGCACGACCGUGGGCUGGUGGUGGGGCUGAACCAUAACACUGGCGAGCCGGUCGACCCUGAGAUGGAAGGUAUCUAUGACAACUACUCGGUGAAGCGCCAGAUCGUCAACUCGGGGCCCAUCAUCGCGUCGCAGCUGUUGCUAGUGGAUGAGGUGAUCAGGGCGGGGCGCAACAUGAGGAAACCAACCUAA
rnacentral:rRNA from 1 species